rnacentral:rRNA from 1 species
AACGAACGCUGGCGGCAUGCCUAACGCAUGCAAGUCGAACGAGACCUUCGGGCCUAGUGGCGCACGGGUGCGUAACGCGUGGGAACCUGCCCUUAGGUUCGGAGUAACUCCCCGAAAGGGGUGCUAAUACCGGAUAAUGUCUUCGGACCAAAGAUUUAUCGCCUUUGGAUGGGCCCGCGUUGGAUUAGCUAGUUGGUAGGGUAAAAGCCUACCAAGGCGACGAUCCAUAGCUGGUCUGAGAGGAUGAUCAGCCACACUGGGACUGAGACACGGCCCAGACUCCUACGGGAGGCAGCAGUGGGGAAUAUUGGACAAUGGGCGAAAGCCUGAUCCAGCAAUGCCGCGUGAGUGAUGAAGGCCUUAGGGUUGUAAAGCUCUUUUACCCGGGAUGAUAAUGACAGUACCGGGAGAAUAAGCUCCGGCUAACUCCGUG